rnacentral:rRNA from 1 species
AGCGCAGGCGGGAAGAUAAGUUGGAAGUGAAAUCCAUGGGCUCAACCCAUGAACUGCUUUCAAAACUGUUUUUCUUGAGUAGUGCAGAGGUAGGCGGAAUUCCCGGUGUAGCGGUGGAAUGCGUAGAUAUCGGGAGGAACACCAGUGGCGAAGGCGGCCUACUGGGCACCAACUGACGCUGAGGCUCGAAAGUGUGGGUAGCAAACA